rnacentral:pre_miRNA from 15 species
AACACACACAAGGUGUGACUAUAAAGUAAUGAAACCAAUUUUCAUGUAUGGCUUAUGGAAUCAGUCUUAUUUCAUCAUACUCACAUCUUGUGUAUGU